AAGCUUACAAGUUGCAAAGUGUUACGAACAACCCGUAAAAGUGAAUAUGGCCAGAGACCUAUCUAAGCUGAAGUUCGUCUCUUACUUCUUGCUUUUACUACAAGCAUUACCGACGAUUGUGGCGCGCAUAUGGGAUGGGAAUAUAGACGAGGACCAAGGAGUAGAAGAUAUGGCUAUGGAUUACUGUGUUUGGCUCUUGAAUUUAACCAGAGAGGACUUUAUUUGUGCUGCCAAGAUUGAUCCGAUUUUUAAUAUAUUUUUAUGAAGAGCUGCACUCGGCUAAUGAAGUCUGUUUACAAUGCAUUUCCUUAUCGUAAAUAUAAAUUAUUGCCUGCUACAUAUUGUCAUAAAUCUCUACCUUAAUUAUAUAUUUUAGCUGUUUUCUAGCUUUUUCUUUCAUUUUAAUGACAAAUGAGCACCUUCUUGGUGGGAAAAGAACAGAUGCAAAAUUUUAGAUCGGUAUCUAAAAAACUGAGGGACUAAUUUGCAUACAUACAGACAGUUAAACGAACAGACAGACUGACAUGACUAAAUUAACUCAGCUCAUCAUGCUGAUCAUUUAUAUAUUAUAUACUCCUGUUUUAUAGUGUCUCAAACGUUUUCUGCUGGGUGUUACAGACUUCGUUGCAAACUUAAUAUUCCCUGUUUAGGAUAUAAUAAUUAACUCUUCCGAACUCUCGCAAGGUAAAUACGGCAUUGAGAUUCUUCAUUCAAGUAAUUUUCAUCUUAUAAAAACUUUAAAAAAUAACAAACACAAAACUUUAAUAUUUUUAUCCAAACGCAAAAGUCAUAUUUUUCCACCAAGUGAACCAAGAAUUAUAGCGCACCUCCAAGUGUGCUCUUUGAAAA